CCUACGGGAGGCAGCAGUGAGGAAUAGUGGUCAAUGGACGCAAGUCUGAACCAGCCAUGCCGCGUGCAGGAAGACGGCUCUAUGAGUUGUAAACUGCUUUUGUACGAGGGUAAACGCAGAUACGCGUAUCUGUCUGAAAGUAGCGUACGAAGAAGGAUCGGCUAACUCCGUGCCAGCAGCCGCGGUAAUACGGAGGAGUCAAGCGUUAUCCGGAUUUAUUGGGUUGAAAGGGUGCGUCGGAGGUCGGAGAAGUUAGAGGUGAAAUCCCGAGGCUCAACGUCGGAAUUGCCUCUGAUACUGUUCGGCUCGAGCGUAGUUGCGGUAGGCGGAAUGUCUGGUGUAGCGGUGCAAUGCUU
rnacentral:rRNA from 1 species